UACGUAGGGUGCAAGCGUUGUCCGGAAUUAUUGGGCGUAAAGAGCUCGUAGGCGGUCUGUCGCGUCUGCUGUGAAAAUCCAGGGCUCAACCCUGGACCUGCAGUGGGUACGGGCAGACUAGAGUGCGGUAGGGGAGAUCGGAAUUCCUGGUGUAGCGGUGAAAUGCGCAGAUAUCAGGAGGAACACCCGUAGCGAAGGCGGCACUCUGGGCCGGAACUGACGCUGAGGAGCGAAAGCGUGGGGAGCGAACAGG
rnacentral:rRNA from 1 species